rnacentral:lncRNA from 1 species
UAUGCAGCUAAAUCGAUAGGAAUAGGAUUCUCAAAGGAAAGGGCGGGUGGACAUACGUUGCGGGUGUCCAGUUGGCAUGGGUCUGGGUUCGGGUCAUCAACUCGAACGGUCAAUGCUGGCCUGAUAUCAGCAUCGUUAUACGUCACAAGUUGGGGAGGCUCUAACUAUUAGAGGAUCUAGUUCAUCAACUAAUGAUUCAAGAUGGAAGUCCUUUGCGGAUUUACCCAGGAAGAAUAUACUCUUCAACUGCCCAAGGAAACUUGUGAAAGAACUUCUCUCCAUGAGCUUUUGAUAAAGUAAAAGACUUUUACAGUAGGUUUAACUGUAUCUUGGAUCUUAGAAUCUGAUUCGUAACUUUGGAUAAAUCGAUCCCAGAAAUCAUAGAGUUUAUCCAUCAGAUCAUGAGAUAUCUAUACUUUCCCUUCUU